rnacentral:rRNA from 1 species
GACGAACGCUGGCGGCGUGCCUAAUACAUGCAAGUCGUGCGGGCCUUUUAAAAGCUUGCUUUUAAAAGGUUAGCGGCGGACGGGUGAGUAACACGUGGGCAACCUGCCUGUAAGAUCGGGAUAACGCCGGGAAACCGGGGCUAAUACCGGAUAGUUUUUUCCUCCGCAUGGAGGAAAAAGGAAAGGCGGCUUCGGCUGUCACUUACAGAUGGGCCCGCGGCGCAUUAGCUAGUUGGCGGGGUAACGGCCCACCAAGGCAACGAUGCGUAGCCGACCUGAGAGGGUGAUCGGCCACAUUGGGACUGAGACACGGCCCAAACUCCUACGGGAGGCAGCAGUAGGGAAUCUUCCGCAAUGGACGAAAGUCUGACGGAGCAACGCCGCGUGAGUGAAGAAGGCCUUCGGGUCGUAAAACUCUGUUGCCGGGGAAGAACAAGUGCCGUUCGAACAGGGCGGCGCCUUGACGGUACCCGGCCAGAAAGCCACGGCUAACUAC